UAUCAUCAGUUCAGAUAAACCCUGGUGAAGAUCUGCAGCUGGAUUUGCACGUAUCAGAGCGAGUGGAGGUGAUCUAUAAGGGUGAAGAUUCAGCAGAUCCACAUGGUGAACAGAUCUGCACUGUGGAUAGAAGCUCACUACGCUGUACAGCUGAAUACACACCGAGAACAUCACUCACUAACACAGUUCUUACACUGAGAGGAGUAAAGCUGACUGAUGGGGGAGUUUACAUCGUCCGAGACACGGAGAAUAAUGAAGAUCUUCAUAUUUACUCAGUAUCAGUGAGAGAGAGAGCGCUACCAUGGUGGGCGAUUAUCCUGAUAGUGCUGCUGCUGCUGCUUGUUGUUGUGCUGUCUGUUAAAAUCUGCUACCAGAGGAAACUACUUCAACGACAUCAACUCUGCCAAAGAGAUGAAUCGUACAGAGGAGCAGCAGUGGAGCAGGAAGAGACCAGAGCUGGAAUGGCACCCUACAAAUGAGGGACCAGGCAGAGAACAAAAGCAUGUUGGAGCAGGAAGAGAACCUGAAGCUCAAACAUAAGAAUGGAGUAACAGAGGGAAGAGACUUAUAACUUCAUACAGCAUGAUUCUACUGCAAGUCUUUUUUUUAAUCCCUUUAUCUGUUACAUAUCCUCAUCAGAUAAUUCUAUAGGCUUCUCCUCUCAGAUAUUACCUUUGGCGAAGAUUUCACUGAGCACCACAUCAUCUGUCCUUCUCUGGGAUCUGCUUCAGUCCUGGUUCUUCAGCAAUGUGAUGAGCUUCCAGCUCCUUUAAGAAUAGAACCUUGUGUUUUGGUCUCAGAAGAACCUCCUCUAAGAACAGAACCUGUUCAGAUGGCAUCAAGGUCACAUUAUUAAAUACUAAUGAUAUUUUAUACGUUUCAUCUCUAUUAACUCAUACAGUGGAGCAGGAAGAGACCAGACCUGGAAUGGUACCUCAGAAAUGCCUAAACUGCCAGAGAAACAAAUGAUGAUGAAGCAGGAAGAGAACCUGAAGCUCAAACAUAAGAAUGGAGUAACAGAGGGAAGAGAUUUAUAACUUCAUACAGCAUGUUUGGAUUAUUACUUUUUGUUUUGCAUCGUUGUUUCUGCUCUGACUUUCUUCAGAAGUGUUCAGGUUUGUGAACCCUGCAAGCUCAUGUUUUUCCCACCUGUGUGAAGGUUAAAAACUCAGUUUGCUCUGCUGCUGAAGCUGCGCCUUUUACACUUUCAGUUUCUCUAAUUCCUGUCAGCUGUUAAUAUUUUAUUGAACUAGACACAAACUACAUGAAUUACAAAUCGAGCUAACACAUUUUUCCCCUUGUGGUGCAUAAAUAUUCCCACCCUUUAGAAAUGUUGGUCCAGUGAUACAUGAUAAACAAUGUGCAUUAUGAAAUAUAGGCAUCCAGUAAAACAGCUGUGUUUAAUUUUAAAAACUGUGAGAAACUGAGUUUAAUCAUACUUUUAUUCAGUGUCCUACAAAAUUAAUGACACUGAAAAUAGGGGAAAAAAAUAAAUAAUAAAAUAGCUGGGACUGAUCAGUGUUUACUGGGUGUGUCCUCUGUUACGACCCACACCAGUACUGCUGGCAUCAACUUCCAACUUGAAGGGUUUUCCAAAUUAGGGGCAAACACUGAUCAGUCCCAGCUAGUGAACACGUGUGUGUGAGGACACACCCAGUAAACACUGAUCAGUCCCAGCUAGUGAACACGUGUGUAUGAGGACACACCCAGUAAACACUGAUCAGUCCCAGCUAGUGAACACGUGUGUAUGAGGACACACCCAGUAAAUACUGAUCAGUCCCAGCUAGUGAACACGUGUGUGUGAGGACACACCCAGUAAACACUGAUCAGUCCCAGCUAGUGAACACGUGUGUAUGAGGACACACCCAGUAAACACUGAUCAGUCCCAGCUAGUGAACACGUGUGUAUGAGGACACACCCAGUAAACACUGAUCAGUCCCAGCUAGUGAACACGUGUGUGUGAGGACACACCCAGUAAACACUGAUCAGUCCCAGCUAGUGAACACGUGUGUGAGAGGACACACCCAGUAAACACUGAUCAGUCCCAGCUAGUGAACACGUGUGUAUGAGGACACACCCAGUAAAUACUGAUCAGUCCCAGCUAGUGAACACGUGUGUAUGAGGACACACCCAGUAAACACUGAUCAGUCCUAGCUAGUGAACACGUGUGUAUGAGGACACACCCAGUAAACACUGAUCAGUCCCAGCUAGUGAACACGUGUGUAUGAGGACACACCCAGUAAACACUGAUCAGUCCCAGCUAGUGAACACGUGUGUGUGUAUGAGGACACACCCAGUAAACACUGAUCAGUCCCAGCUAGUGAACACGUGUGUGUGAGGACACACCCAGUAAACACUGAUCAGUCCCAGCUAGUGAACACGUGUGUAUGAGGACACACCCAGUAAACACUGAUCAGUCCCAGCUAGUGAACACGUGUGUGUGAGGACACACCCAGUAAACACUGAUCAGUCCCAGCUAGUGAACACGUGUGUGUGAGGACACACCCAGUAAACACUGAUCAGUCCCAGCUAGUGAACACGUGUGUGAGAGGACACACCCAGUAAACACUGAUCAGUCCCAGCUAGUGAACACGUGUGUAUGAGGACACACCCAGUAAAUACUGAUCAGUCCCAGCUAGUGAACACGUGUGUAUGAGGACACACCCAGUAAACACUGAUCAGUCCUAGCUAGUGAACACGUGUGUAUGAGGACACACCCAGUAAACACUGAUCAGUCCCAGCUAGUGAACACGUGUGUAUGAGGACACACCCAGUAAACACUGAACAGUCCCAGCUAGUGAACACGUGUGUGUGAGGACACACCCAGUAAACACUGAUCAGUCCCAGCUAGUGAACACGUGUGUGAGAGGACACACCCAGUAAACACUGAUCAGUCCCAGCUAGUGAACACGUGUGUAUGAGGACACACCCAGUAAACACUGAUCAGUCCCAGCUAGUGAACACGUGUGUAUGAGGACACACCCAGUAAACACUGAUCAGUCCCAGCUAGUGAACACGUGUGUAUGAGGACACACCCAGUAAACGCUGAUCAGUCCCAGCUAGUGAACACGUGUGUGUGUGAGGACACACCCAGUAAACACUGAUCAGUCCCAGCUAGUGAACACGUGUGUAUGAGGACACACCCAGUAAACACUGAUCAGUCCCAGCUAGUGAACACGUGUGUAUGAGGACACACCCAGUAAACACUGAUCAGUCCCAGCUAGUGAACACGUGUGUAUGAGGACACACCCAGUAAACACUGAUCAGUCCCAGCUAGUGAACACGUGUGUGUGAGGACACACCCAGUAAACACUGAUCAGUCCCAGCUAGUGAACACGUGUGUGUGAGGACACACCCAGUAAACACUGAUCAGUCCCAGCUAGUGAACACGUGUGUGUGAGGACACACCCAGUAAACACUGAUCAGUCCCAGCUAGUGAACACGUGUGUGUGAGGACACACCCAGUAAACACUGAUCAGUCCCAGCUAGUGAACACGUGUGUGUGAGGACACACCCAGUAAACACUGAUCAGUCCCAGCUAGUGAACACGUGUGUGUGAGGACACACCCAGUAAACACGUGUGUGUGAGGACACACCCACUAAACACUGAUCAGUUCCAGCUAGUGAACACGUGUGUAUGAGGACACACCCAGUAAACACUGAUCAGUCCCAGCUAGUGAACACGUGUGUAUGAGGACACACCCAGUAAACACUGAUCAGUCCCAGCUAGUGAACACGUGUGUAUGAGGACACACCCAGUAAACACUGAUCAGUCCCAGCUAGUGAACACGUGUGUAUGAGGACACACCCAGUAAACACUGAUCAGUCCCAGCUAGUGGGAAAGUUACUGAGCAGCUCAAACUGACAUGGAGCACCUCACAGGGAGAGGAAUCACAACAGACAGGUGGGAAAAA